UCCGUAGGUGAACCUGCGGAAGGAUCAUUAACACUAAUCCAUAUCACCUUAACCUAGCCUUCAGUGCAGUAUCAGUGCUAGCUUCGCAGCAGGCCUCUUACUGUUCUAUAAACCUAAACUAAAGAAGCUUAACUAAGCUCAACCACUAAAACCAAAUUCUCAACGAUGGAUAUCUUGGUUCCCAUAACGAUGAAGAACGCAGCGAAGUGCGAUAAGCAAUGCGAAUUGCAGAACCGUGAGUCAUCAGAUCUUUGAACGCAACUGGCGCUGGAUGGCUAUCCAUCCAGCAUGCUUGUUUCAGUGUCUUAUUCUCUCAUAACCUAAAUCUUAAUGCUAGAGAUACCCUUCUCUUGCUAAGUACGAAAGCACUCUGAGCCCUGCAGGUGAUUUGGCUUCGGCCAAGGUCACACUCAAUGCAGCAGUCACAUUAACAAUGUGAACUCAUUGAGAGUAGAGUCAGCGCAGCUAGUCUGCAAGUGCUUAGACCCUUAAACUCUUCUAGGCAUCUGGAAAUCAAGGCAGGGGGAUCACCCGGCUGGAACUUAAGGCAUAUCAAUAAGGCGGGGAGGGGAAGGUCGGACUGG
rnacentral:rRNA from 1 species